AAGUCGUAACAAGGUCUCCGUAGGUGAACCUGCGGAGGGAUCUUACGAGAUCUCAUUGCCCUAACGGGUAGAUCUCCCACCCUAUGUUAUCAUUACCAUGUUGCUUUGGCGGCCGUCAGGCCACCGGCUCGCUACCGGGCUCGGCUGUAACCCCGCCAGAGGACCUAACCUAAUAUUCGUGUCGUCUGAGUACCAUUAAUGUUAAAA
rnacentral:misc_RNA from 1 species